GGGGCUGCGGCUGCUAUACAUGCAAGUCGAGCGGACCGACGGGAGCUUGCUCCCUUAGGUCAGCGGCGGACGGGUGAGUAACACGUGGGUAACCUGCCUGUAAGACUGGGAUAACUCCGGGAAACCGGGGCUAAUACCGGAUGCUUGAUUGAACCGCAUGGUUCAAUUAUAAAAGGUGGCUUCGGCUACCACUUACAGAUGGACCCGCGGCGCAUUAGCUAGUUGGUGAGGUAACGGCUCACCAAGGCAACGAUGCGUAGCCGACCUGAGAGGGUGAUCGGCCACACUGGGACUGAGACACGGCCCAGACUCCUACGGGAGGCAGCAGUAGGGAAUCUUCCGCAAUGGACGAAAGUCUGACGGAGCAACGCCGCGUGAGUGAUGAAGGUUUUCGGAUCGUAAAACUCUGUUGUUAGGGAAGAACAAGUACCGUUCGAAUAGGGCGGCACCUUGACGGUACCUAACCAGAAAGCCACGGCUAACUACGUGCCAGCAGCCGCGGUAAUACGUAGGUGGCAAGCGUUGUCCGGAAUUAUUGGGCGUAAAGCGCGCGCAGGCGGUUUCUUAAGUCUGAUGUGAAAGCCCCCGGCUCAACCGGGGAGGGUCAUUGGAAACUGGGGAACUUGAGUGCAGAAGAGGAGAGUGGAAUUCCACGUGUAGCGGUGAAAUGCGUAGAGAUGUGGAGGAACACCAGUGGCGAAGGCGACUCUCUGGUCUGUAACUGACGCUGAGGCGCGAAAGCGUGGGGAGCGAACAGGAUUAGAUACCCUGGUAGUCCACGCCGUAAACGAUGAGUGCUAAGUGUUAAAGGGUUUCCGCCCUUUAGUGCUGCAGCAAACGCAUUAAGCACUCCGCCUGCGGAGUACGGUCGCCAGACUGAAACUCAAAGGAAUUGACGGGGG
rnacentral:rRNA from 1 species